UACAGAGACUGCAAGCGUUAUUCGGAUUCACUGGGCGUAAAGGGUGCGCAGGCGGCCAAGUGUGUUAGGCGUGAAAGCCUGAGGCUUAACCUCAGAAUUGCACCUAAAACUACAUGGCUAGAGCAUUGGAGAGGGUAGCGGAAUUCACGGUGUAGCAGUGAAAUGCGUAGAUAUCGUGAGGAACACCAGAGGCGAAGGCGGCUACCUGGACAAUUGCUGACGCUCAGGCGCGAAAGCGUGGGGAGCAAAAGGG
rnacentral:rRNA from 1 species